UGAAGACGACGAGGUAGAUAGGGCAGAGGUGGAAGUGUGGUAACACAUGGAGCUGACUGUUACUAAUAGGUCGAGGGCAUAACCAAA
rnacentral:rRNA from 1 species